GCACUGAUAGUUCAGUGGUAGAAUACCUGCCUUCCACCUAGCGUGUUGAGCAUGUGGCACGGGUUCGAUUCCCGUUCAGUGCA